GCAUAUAAGUAGGCGGUGGAAAAGAAAUUAACAAAGAUUUCCUUAGUAACGGCGAGUGAAAGGGAAUUCUAGUUCAGCGCUGAAUCUAUUAGCUUAUAGCUUAAUAGACCUGUAGCGUUAAGGAGAGCCUAUCUGUCGACGCGUUCGCUUCGGAAGCGCCCUUGAACGGGACUCCGAAGAAGGUGCGAGGCCUGUACCGAAGCGACGUUCGAUAGUUUGCGCCUCCGUAGAGUCGAGUCGCUUGAGAGUGCAGCUCAAAGUCGAAGGUAAACCCCUUCUAAAACUAAAUAUGACCACGAGACCGAUAGCGAACAAGUACCGCGAGGGAAAGUUGAAAAGAACUUUGAAGAGAGAGUUCAAAAGGGCGUGAAACCGCUUAGAAGAUAAACGAAUGGAGCCGUCGGUGGCGUACGGAAAUCAGUUAUACGAUCGGCGAAUAGGUAGUCGUUUUUGUAGAACGUAAAGUCUACUCGAUGGUUGCAUAGUAGUCGACGUUUAGCGCAUUUUCCGUACGCUAGCACUGCAACCGAUAUAUACGGCCGACAUAGGCCCGCGCGGUUGAGGGCGAGAACCCGUUAAACGGUUUUCGUAACCAGCCGUCGCGUGCGCUUAAGUCGGACCGUCGUUAUCGGCUUACAAUGAUACGACGACGACGUCGGCCGUAAAGCUCGUCUGAUACGACGGCGGCGAUAGGGUAUUUCGUCGACGUCCGCUCGCGGACGUUCGAUGGUAUAGUUUGUCGUUCGUCCGUACGACGACAUUCGACGUCGUGGUGUUAGCAGUGUCUGCGUCGGUCACCCAUUCGACCCGUCUUGAAACGCGGACCAAGGAGUCUAACAUACGCGCGAGCCAAUAAGUACGAAUAAACUUAGAGGCGCAAUAAAAGUAAAGACUAUUAUCUGAUAGUCCAGGUACGAUCCCGGUCCGUAUGCCGUUAAAAGUAUACGUCCGGGCGCAGUACCGUCCCAUCCUAUCCGCUCGUCGGUUGGGUGGAGAAAGAGUGCGUACGUUGGGACCCGAAAGAUGGUGAACUAUGCCUGAGCAGAGCGAAGCCAGAGGAAACUCUGGUGGAGGUUCGUAGCGGUUCUGACGUGCAAAUCGAUCGUCAGACUUGGGUAU
rnacentral:rRNA from 1 species